GCUGGAGAUACUAUUAGGACUUGAGACCGGGAGAGGUUAGAGGUACUCCCAGGGUAGAGGUGAAAUUCUGUAAUCCUGGGAGGACCGCCUGUUGCGAAGGCGUCUAACUGGAACGGUUCUGACGGUGAGGGACGAAAGUUAGGGGCGCGAACCGGAUUAGAUACCCGGGUAGUCCUAACUGUAAACGAUGCGGACUUGGUGUUGGGUGGCUUUGAGCUGCUUCAGUGCCGAAGGGAAGCUGUUAAGUCCGCCGCCUGGGAAGUACGGUCGCAAGACUGAAACUUAAGGAAUUGGCGGGGGAGCACCACAACGCGUGGAGCCUGCCGGUUUAAUUGGAUUCAACGCCGGACAUCUCACCAGAGGCGACAGCUGUAUGAUAGCCAGGUUGAUGACUUUGCUUGACUAGCUGAGGAGUGGUGCAUGG
rnacentral:rRNA from 1 species